AACUUUUUAAAAAGCAUUAAUUUGUUUAUGU
rnacentral:tRNA from 1 species